rnacentral:tRNA from 1 species
UGUCAAGGGAUGGGAAUCGAACCCACGACCUUCCUCUUACCGGGCAGAUGCCAUGACCACUAGGCUACCCUGGA